rnacentral:rRNA from 1 species
AUUGAACGCUGGCGGCAGGCCUAACACAUGCAAGUCGAACGAGUGGCGGACGGGUGAGUAAUGUCUGGGAAACUGCCCGAUGGAGGGGGAUAACUACUGGAAACGGUAGCUAAUACCGCAUACCAUCGGAUGUGCCCAGAUGGGAUUAGCUUGUUGGUGGGGUAAAGGCUCACCUAGGCGACGAUCCCUAGCUGGUCUGAGAGGAUGACCCGCCACACUGGAACUGAGACACGGUCCAGACUCCUACGGGAGGCAGCAGUGGGGAAUAUUGCACAAUGGGGGCAGGGCUGAUGCAGCAACGCCGCGUGUAUGAAGAAGGAUGUCGGGUUGGAAAGUACUUUCAGCGGGGAGGCGUUACCCGCCGAAGAAGCACCGGCUAACUCCGUGCCAGCAGCCGCGGUAAUAC